rnacentral:rRNA from 1 species
GACAGAGGGUGCGAACGUUGUUCGGAAUUACUGGGUGUAAAGGGUUCGUAGGCGGUGCGGCAAGUCGGGAGUGAAAUCUCUGGGCUUAACCCAGAGGCUGCUUCCGAAACUGCUGUGCUUGAGUGUGGGAGAGGCGCGUGGAAUUGCAGGUGUAGCGGUGAAAUGCGUAGAUAUCUGCAGGAACACCCGUGGCGAAAGCGGCGCGCUGGACCACUACUGACGCUGAGGAACGAAAGCUAGGGGGAGCAAACAGG